UCAGUCGAUUCUCCUCGUAGUCAGCGUUUUCUGCCCUAGCGCUACUGCCGCCGCCGCCGCAGCUCCUAUUGUCCAUCGCCGCUGGUCCCCCUCCCUUCCCCUCCGGUAUGUCGCCGGAGGUUGAAGGAAGUGGGGAUCUUUUGUAACAAGUUUUUAUUUACUAGAUCGAGUUUAGGGAGAGAGGUGGGAUCGGCUUCUCUGUGGCGGCUCCGAUAAGGACGACAACUUCGACAUCAGCAUCUUCAUCGACAUGACGACAUGAAGAUCUUUUGUUUCCGGACGGCGGCAUUAAGGCGGAGAUGAUGUCGCCGCCAUGGAAUAAUUUUCUCCAGUCUCUUCUCCGUUUUAUUGUGGUUAGAUAUAGCCACAAUGAAGGACUAGAGAGAAUAAUUUUCAGAUUAUUUAUCCUCACUCUUGGAUAGCAGAAAGAAGAAGAAGAACGACGCCAGAAAGAAAAAGUUCCUCAAUUCUGCCUACUGGAAUGUUGGCCGUCGUUCGUUGGGCAUUUGUUCUCAGGCCAUUUGCUGAGUGUUUGCCUAUGCGGUCAUCUGUACUGCAAAGCAUCUAACAGGUUAGGUUUUGAGUUGUGCUUUGCACAGCUUGAGUACUAUAUUGUAAUCUAAAGUGCCUGUAACGUGUUUGAUGUACUCAGCUAUCAUAUAAUAUAGUUCUUCUUUCAUAAAAAAUAACUAGAUGAUUAUUUGACAUGCA